rnacentral:rRNA from 1 species
UACGUAGGAUGCAAGCGUUGUCCGGAAUUAUUGGGCGUAAAGAGUUCGUAGGCGGUUGCCUAAGUCUGGUGUUAAAUACAGGAGCUCAACUCCUGCAUGGCACUGGAAACUGGGCAGCUAGAGUGUGGUAGAGGUCACGGGAAUUCCAGGUGUAGCGGUGAAAUGCGUAGAUAUCUGGAGGAACACCAGUGGCGAAAGCGCGUGACUGGGCCACAACUGACGCUGAGGAACGAAAGCCAGGGGAGCGAGAGGG